rnacentral:rRNA from 1 species
GACGAACGCUGGCGGCGUGCUUAACACAUGCAAGUCGAACGGAAAGGCCCUGCUUGCAGGGUACUCGAGUGGCGAACGGGUGAGUAACACGUGGGUGAUCUGCCCUGCACUUCGGGAUAAGCCUGGGAAACUGGGUCUAAUACCGGAUGGGAGCCAUUUUUAGUGUGAUGGUUGGAAAGUUUUUUCGGUGUAGGAUGAGCUCGCGGCCUAUCAGCUUGUUGGUGGGGUAAUGGCCUACCAAGGCGGCGACGGGUAGCCGGCCUGAGAGGGUGGACGGCCACAGUGGGACUGAGAUAGGGCCCAGCCUCCUACGGGAGGCAGCAGUGGGGAAUAUUGCACAAGGGGCGCAAGCCUGAUGCAGCGACGCCGCGUGGGGGAUGACGGCCUUCGGGUUGUAAACUCCUUUCGCUAGGGACGAAGCUUUUUGUGACGGUACCUAGAUAAGAAGCACCGGCUAACUACGUG